GUGAGGAAUAUUGGGCAAUGGGCGCAAGCCUGACCCAGCAACGCCGCGUGAAGGAAGAAGGCUUUCGGGUUGUAAACUUCUUUUACCAGGGACGAAACAAAUGACGGUACCUGGUGAAUAAGCCACGGCUAACUACGUGCCAGCAGCCGCGGUAAUACGUAGGUGGCGAGCGUUAUCCGGAUUUAUUGGGUGUAAAGGGCGUGUAGGCGGGACAGCAAGUCAGAUGUGAAAACCAGAGGCUCAACCUCUGGCCUGCAUUUGAAACUGUUGUUCUUGAGUGUCGGAGAGGUAAUCGGAAUUCCGUGUGUAGCGGUGAAAUGCGUAGAUAUACGGAGGAACACCAGUGGCGAAGGCGGAUUACUGGACGAUAACUGACGCUGAGGCGCGAAAGCGUGGGGAGCAAACAGGAUUAGAAACCCGAGUAGUCC
rnacentral:rRNA from 1 species